rnacentral:lncRNA from 7 species
CCAAAUCAGGUAGCAGCGGUUAUUGGUCAUCGCGUACGCAGGUGAGUCUCUCGUCCCUCCCUUUGACGUCCUCUCCCCUUUAGCGUGCUGUGUCGUAGGCCCCUGGCCGCGGUCCUCUCGCCCCUCCUCUUCUCCAUUGCGCGCAGCGGCCCGGCAGCCCGAUGUCCUAGGGCGUGGCGGCCAGUCCCGGCCAGCCCGCCCAGGCCUCAGCGCCCAGAGCGGCCAGCAGCCCCACGCAGCGCCUAGCCCUGGCCGUGGCCAGCCCCCAUCACACCGGCUCCCCCUCUUCCCAUGGCCGUGCUGCUUCCUUCCCCCUCCCCUUGCUGUUAAUUCUAUGGAGAAAGAUGGAUAAAGGAAGAAGAACCCUGCAUGUUUAGGGUUUAGGGUAUGUUCGUGCGAUUGGAAAUGAGAGAAGAAAAGUGUCGUGCACAUCAGAGAGAAAGAAAAAAAAUUCUGCCCACGAUCUAGCCUCACAUCAGAUUUUCUGUGGCUUGCUUCUUUAGUCCUCCGUGGUAUCUCUUGACCAGUCAGUUUGUGCCACAUCGCUCGAUUCAUUAAACCUUCAUAUCUUUCACGUUAGAUGUCCGAUUUAAUUCAUUCGAGUUGCGUUAGCUUCAUUAUAACUCUGUCCACGUGUUGUUAAUAUUGUUUCAUUAUGCCAUAUGUUUUAAAUAAAUUAUUAAAUGGUUGUUUGGACAACGUUUAUUAAAUUAGCGUUCCAAUUAAAUCUAAUUUAUAGUUUUCAAUUUGCGUUUUUAUAAAUAUCGGUUAAUGUGAUUA